rnacentral:tRNA from 1 species
GUGCUUAGUGUAGUGGUUAUCACCCUGGAUUUUGAUCAAGAACUUCCAGUGACCCCAGUUCGAGCCUGGGAGUGACCU